GUGGGGAAUAUUGGACAAUGGGGGGAACCCUGAUCCAGCCAUGCCGCGUGUGUGAAGAAGGCCUUUUGGUUGUAAAGCACUUUAAGCGAGGAGGAGGCUACCGAGAUUAAUACUCUUGGAUAGUGGACGUUACUCGCAGAAUAAGCACCGGCUAACUCUGUGCCAGCAGCCGCGGUAAUACAGAGGGUGCAAGCGUUAAUCGGAUUUACUGGGCGUAAAGCGCGCGUAGGUGGCCAAUUACGUCAAAUGUGACAUCCACGAGCUUAACUUGGGAAUUGCAGUCGAUACUGGUUGGCUAGAGUAUGGGAGAGGAUGGUAGAAUUCCAGGUGUAGCGGUGAAAUGCGCAGAGAUCUGGAGGAAUACCGAUGGCGAAGGCAGCCAUCUGGCCUAAUACUGACACUGAGGUGCGAAAGCAUGGGGAGCAACCAGGAUUAGAUACCCCGGUAGUCC
rnacentral:rRNA from 1 species